GGAGAGGUGCCGGAGUGGUCGAACGGGCUCGCCUGGAGAGCGAGUGUACCCCAAAAGGGUACCGUGGGUUCGAAUCCCACCCUCUCCG
rnacentral:tRNA from 1 species